GGCGCGACCAUAUAGGGCCGCCCGGACGAGUUCGCCGUACCCGGACAGCGACAAGACGGUGAAGU
rnacentral:ncRNA from 1 species